rnacentral:rRNA from 1 species
UACGUAGGGUGCGAGCGUUGUCCGGAAUCAUUGGGCGUAAAGAGCGUGUAGGCGGCCCGAUAAGUCCGCCGUGAAAGCCCAGGGCUCAACCCUGGGAUGCCGGUGGAUACUGUCGGGCUAGAGUUCGGAAGAGGCAAGUGGAAUUCCUGGUGUAGCGGUGAAAUGCGCAGAUAUCAGGAGGAACACCUAUGGCGAAGGCAGCUUGCUGGGACGACACUGACGCUGAGACGCGAAAGCGUGGGGAGCAAACAGG